CGUCUCUGUCCUAGACAAGAAACCUGGCUCAGAUACAGCUGUACAGGCUGUGGUCCUUGACUGCAGUGGAGUGGCCUUUGUCGAUUCAGCCGGGGCACGUCUCCUUAUCCAGGUGUGCAUUGAAUGCCAAAAAGCAGGCAUGCAGGUGCAUUUGGCUGCUUGCAAUGCAAAUGUCCUGCGCACCCUACGCUCUUGUGGCCUCCUGCAUCACCUACGCCCGCAGCAGAUUUUUGUCAGUGUUCACGACGCUACGUCCUAC